rnacentral:tRNA from 4 species
GCGGUGAUAGCUCAGCUGGUAGAGCGUCUGCUUCCCAAGCAGAAGGUCGCGGGUUCAAACCCCGUUCGCCGCUCCA